ACUGCUGCUAAUCUAUCGCCGCUGCUAAGCUAUCCCUCGCUGCUAAGCUAUUUAUCGCUGCCAAUCUAUCCCUCGCUGCUAAGCUAUCACCGCUGCCAACCUAUCUAUUGCUGCUAAGCUAUCCCUCACUGCUAAGCUAUCCCUCGCUGCUAAGCUAUCCCUCGCUGCUAAGCUAUCCCUCGCUGCUAAGCUAUCCCUCGCUGCUAAGCUAUCCCUCGCUGGCUAUCCCUCACUGCUAAGCUAUCGCCGCUGCCAACCUAUCUAUUGCUGCAAGCUAUCCCUCGCUGCUAAGCUAUCCCUCCCUGCUAAGCUAUCCCUCGCUGCUAAGCUAUCCCUCGCUGCUAUUCUAUCUAUCGCUGCUAAGCUAUCUAUCACUGCUAAGCUAGCUAUCGCUGCCAAUCUAUAUAGGGUAAAUCAUGGCCCCGUUUGGUCCCAUUUUGUAAAAUGGGACUACAAAAUGGGACCAAAUGGGAUCAGAACUGAUAAUUUAUAACUAAAACAUGAUCUGGGACUAGAAUUAUAAUAUAAAUCAUGAUUCAUAUAAAAUGACUGAUUUCAUAAACACUAUAUGGGACCAGGACUAAGAUAUUUGAGAAUGGGACUGAGGAAAAAUUUGGUCCUGGUCCCAAUGUCCCAUGCAUGGUCACACAGCCAGUCUAUCAGAAUCACUACUCCGUACCUACUACUCAAUCAAAUCUGAAUCUAAAUCAUCAGCAAAUUUCUCUGCCAUCUUAUCAAACUUAUGCCUGAUGUCAGUAUAAAAGAAAGAGAGAAGAAGAGAAUAAAGAAAAAGCUCCAAGAUCAAGAUAUGAUUGUGCAGCAUGUAGCAAUAUUGCUCUCUGCUUGAAGAGAGGAUGUUGGAAGAAGUUCCAUUCUAAUAAUAUUAAUUAGAGCUAGAUCAAAUAGAUUAUAUAAAUUACACC
rnacentral:sRNA from 1 species